UACAGAGGGGGCAAGCGUUGUUCGGAAUUACUGGGCGUAAAGGGCGCGUAGGCGGCCUGUUAAGUCGAACGUGAAAUCCCCGGGCUCAACCCGGGAACUGCGUCCGAUACUGGCAGGCUUGAAUCCGGGAGAGGGAUGCGGAAUUCCAGGUGUAGCGGUGAAAUGCGUAGAUAUCUGGAGGAACACCGGUGGCGAAGGCGGCGUUCUGGACUGCAACUGACACUGAGGAACGAAAGCCAGGGGAGCAAACGGG
rnacentral:rRNA from 1 species